GGUGAACGCUGGCGGCGUGCUUAACACAUGCAAGUCGAACGAGAACGGGAUAUAGCUUGCUAUAUUUGUCAGCUAAGUGGCGCACGGGUGAGUAAUGUAUAGAUAACCUGCCCUCUAGAAAGGAAUAACAGUUGGAAACGACUGCUAAUGCCCUAUAUGCCUUUAAUACAUAAGUAUGCAAGGGAAACGCUUUAGUGCUAGAGGAUGGGUCUGUACGGUAUCAGCUUGUUGGUGAGGUAAUGGCUCACCAAGGCUAUGACGCCUAACUGGUUUGAGAGGACGAUCAGUCGCACUGGGACUGAGACACGGUCCAGACUCCUACGGGAGGCAGCAGUGGGGAAUAUUGCACAAUGGACGAAAGUCUGAUGCAGCAACGCCGCGUGGAGGAUGACACAUUUCGGUGCGUAAACUCCUUUUAUAUAGGAAGAUAAUGACGGUACUAUAUGAAUAAGCACCGGCUAACUCCGUGCCAGCAGCCGCUGUAA
rnacentral:rRNA from 1 species